rnacentral:rRNA from 1 species
GACCUGGCCGGGCGGUCCGCCUAACGGUGUGUACUGUCUGGCCGGGCCUUACCUCUUGGUGAGCCAGCAUGCCCUUCACUGGGUGUGUUGGGGAACCAGGACUUUUACCUUGAGAAAAUUAGAGUGUUCAAAGCAGGCCUACGCCCGAAUACAUUAGCAUGGAAUAAUAAAAUAGGACGGCAUGGUUCUAUUUUGUUGGUUUCUAGGAUCACCGUA